AGAAAAUGUGUAGUGAAAGAUUUGUCAUAGUUUUUCAUUUAUGGUUAUGUGGUAGAAAAUUCACAAAACAAGGUAUUCUAGACAAUGUUCAGAAGACAUAUUUUAUUAUUAUUUAUUUCUUAGCAGACGCCCUUAUCCAGGGCAACUUACAAUUGUCACUAGAUAUCACAUUAUUUUUACAUGCAAUUGCCCAUUAUACAGUUGGGUUUUUAUUGGAGCAAUCUAGGUAAAGUACCUUGCCCAAGAGUACAGCAACAGUGUCCCCAACCGGGGAUUGAACCCACAACCGUACAGUCAAGAGUCCAGAGCCCUAACCACUACUCCACACUGCUGCCCUAGCCACACAAGUGUUUAAAUAAACACGCCCUUUAGUUAAAAUGCCUGGCCAGGUAACUUCUUAAUUAUUGUAUCUAUUUAAUUAAGGAUUCCCCUUUAAGAAGGCUGAACUCCCAUGAGCCUUUGUUCUUUUUUAAACAGGUAGAGGGUGGAAGGGAGGCAGGUUUUGUGUUCUGGGUUCCUCCAUUUUGUGUAUGGCGGUGUGGUUUGUGUGCAGGUUCUCAAUGGGUUCCAGUUGGCUUUCAAGAUUUUAUUUACAAGAAAAUUAUAUUAAAUAAGAACUAUACGACAUUGGAGCAUCUCUUGGAUAACUUGUUGCUGUUGGACUGCCACUGGAACUACAGAAUAAGCAUCAACAAACAAACAGUCGGGUCUGUGACGAUGAGAAGGUCUCCACAGUCUGGAGUCUGGUCUCUGACAGGCUCAAUAUACCUGUCAAUCAACAGGGACUCCUCUACAAAGGCAAGGCACUGGCAGGUAGGCUGAACAGCACAGCACAGCUCACCCCUCCUCUCACCCCUCACCUCACCCCUCCUCUCAACACUCCUCGCACGCCUCGCCUCACCCCGGGUCAGUGUGGCACAGCCUGCCUGCUCUUCUGAACAAACACUUCAGCCCUGCCGACGCAGUGAGAGUCUGGAGCAGCAACACAAGGUGAUGAAGUGACACUUUGAAUAUGGGGCCUGAUGAGAGAAGUAUCCUUUUCAUGUGGUUUUGGUUUUGCCGUUGUGAGCAGGUGUGGGAGACAGCACCGUGUCUGCAUGUGAAAUAACAAAGUCAUCGCAGUGGAGGGACUCUCUGAAGGCUGCUGUUUGUGGAUUUGUCUUGUAAUGUGAGUGAUCUACUGUACUGUGAUGCCACUGUCUGUACGCACGCUGCACUGUAGGGGAGACACCGCUGGCAUUCACAGGGCAUGCCUGUUCAUUUAAAGCACGCUGCA